GAUCCUGGCUCAGAACGAACGCUGGCGGCAUGCCUAACACAUGCAAGUCGAACGAGACCUUCGGGUCUAGUGGCGCACGGGUGCGUAACGCGUGGGAAUCUGCCCUUGGUUCGGAAUAACAGCGAGAAAUUGCUGCUAAUACCGGAUGAUGACGUAAGUCCAAAGAUUUAUCGCCCAAGGAUGAGCCCGCGUAGGAUUAGCUAGUUGGUGAGGUAAAGGCUCACCAAGGCGACGAUCCUUAGCUGGUCUGAGAGGAUGAUCAGCCACACUGGGACUGAGACACGGCCCAGACUCCUACGGGAGGCAGCAGUGGGGAAUAUUGGACAAUGGGCGAAAGCCUGAUCCAGCAAUGCCGCGUGAGUGAUGAAGGCCUUAGGGUUGUAAAGCUCUUUACCCGAGAUGAUAAUGACAGUAUCGGGAGAAUAAGCUCCGGCUAACUCCGUG
rnacentral:rRNA from 1 species